UCGGAAGUGCGGCUGGAUCACUCCUUUCUAAGGAGAAUUGCCUACUGUUUAAUUUUGAAAGUUCUUACGAACUUUAUAUAUGGGGGUGUAGCUCAGUUGGGAAAGCACUUGCCUUGCAAGCAAGGGGUCAGGAGUUCGACUCUCCUCAUCUCCACCAUUUAAGAGUAUAUUACUUAAAUCUUUGAUUUACUUAGUAGCCUCUUACAUUGCACUUAUAGCUUAAAUUUAUACAAGCUUUGUGCGUUAGCACUUUAAGCAACAGAAUAAACUGAACGCAUGUGAAGUUUGUUUGUUGGCGCUGUGCGUUAGCACUUUAAGUAACGAAAUAAUCUUAGUGAAUACGAAGGUUGUUCGUUGACGUGGUGCAUUAGCACUUUUAAGCAACGGAAUUUAUUCGUUAGCGCCGUGCUUUAGCACUUUGAAAACUGCAUAUAUAUUUAGUGAUAUGACAUCUAAUUUGUAAUAUAUAAAGCUGAUAACUUUUUAAAAUUAUCGAAGUUGAUAGCUUCUGAUCUAUCAAACCUUUUUAACU
rnacentral:tRNA from 1 species